rnacentral:rRNA from 1 species
AUUGAACGCUGGCGGCAGGCUUAACACAUGCAAGUCGAGCGAGCGGCGGACGGGUGAGUAAUGUCUGGGAAACUGCCUGAUGGAGGGGGUUAACUACUGGAAACGGUAGCUAAUACCGCAUACCAUCAGAUGUGCCCAGAUGGGAGUAGCUAGUAGGUGGGGUAAUGGCUCACCUAGGCGACGAUCCCUAGCUGGUCUGCGAGGAUGACCGGCCACACUGGAACUGAGACACGGUCAAGACUCCUACGGGAGGAAGCAGUGGGGAAUAUUGCGCAAUGGGCGAAAGCCUGAUGCAGCGAUGCCGCGUGUGUGAAGAAGGCCUUCGGGUUGUAAAGCACUUUCAGCGAGGAGGCGUUACGCGCAGAAGAAGCACCGGCUAACUCCGUGCCAGCAGCCGCGGUAAUUC